rfam:Trichuris trichiura, WGS project CBXK01000000 data, contig: TTRE_1460
GGUUCCAUGGUGCAACGGUUAGCGCUCUGGACUUUGAAUCCAGCAAUCUGAGUUCAUAUCUCGGUGGAACCU